UACAGAGGGGGCAAGCGUUGUUCGGAAUUACUGGGCGUAAAGGGCGCGUAGGCGGCCCGCUAAGUCGAACGUGAAAUCCCCAGGCUCAACCUGGGAACUGCGUCCGAUACUGGCAGGCUUGAAGUCCGGGGAGAGGGAUGUGGAAUUCCAGGUGUAGCGGUGAAAUGCGUAGAGUAUCUGGAGGAACACCGGGUGGCCGAAGGCGGCAAUCCUGGACCGGUAUUGGACGCUGAGGCGGCGAAAAGCUGAGGGGAGCAAACGGGG
rnacentral:rRNA from 1 species